UACGGAGGGUGCGAGCGUUGUCCGGAAUCACUGGGCGUAAAGGGCGCGUAGGCGGCUCAUGAAGGCUGUGGUGAAAGUCCGGGGCUCAACCUCGGAUCGGCCGUGGCGACUCGUGGGCUGGAGCACUGUAGAGGCGGGUGGAAUUCCGGGUGUAGCGGUGGAAUGCGUAGAGAUCCGGAAGAACACCAGUGGCGAAGGCGGCCCGCUGGGCAGUGGGCUGACGCUGAAGCGCGAAAGCGUGGGGAGCGAACAGG
rnacentral:rRNA from 1 species